ACAUUUUUAUUAGAUUUGAUACAUUUUUUUCUGACGUUUGGUACAAUUUCGAAAACUUCAUUUAUCAUCGCUGGUUCGCACGAUUGGUGGUUGCAUGCAACAUGUUUGAAGCUAAUCCGGGUUGAAGCGCGUGUACCAGCGGCUGAGGUAUAUUAACAGCUGCUUUGUGGAAAUUUGAAGAAUUCUUCAAACGGAUAGUGUGCGAAGCGGUCGGUCUGAUGUGCGCGCACGGUGCUAAGUAAAAACUAAGCAUAGUAAUGCAAAGAUAGCAUAAUAAGAUAUCAAAAGUAAACAGUGAAGAGAUAAUAAAAACUCGUGCAUACAUAUCUUGGUGUUUGUGUGCGUGAGUGUUCAAGUGCGUCCGUGAGAUUUCUUACUUACACACAAGAAAAAAACUAGAAAAACUCAUAAUUGGGCUACUGCUGAUUGUGUGAGUGUACGCACAAAAACUUGUUGGCUACCGAGGAAUCACUUCUUGCCUCAGUUACUCUGGCGGCUGUCUUCUUUGUGAACGUGUGCGUUUUUGUUCCACUUAUCUUUUUUGUGUUGUGUAUUUGCCGCGCUUGAGAGAAUUCCACGGUCUUUGAUGUUAUUUCAUGUGGCCCGACAACAACAAAAAAGGCAACCGGUGCCAGUGCGCCAUAAAAUCGAGUGUAGAUUUGUAGUUGUUGCGGCAUUGAAUGUGUAGAAAGGAAACAGCAUAAAAAGAAACAUAAAGGCCAAAGUAGCCGCAAAAACAAGACAAAUACAAUAGAAGAGUAGAAGAUAAGUAAAAAGUGUUUAGCUACGCCGAUGUGGAAAAAAUGCUAAAAUACCAAGGAAAAUUGUUUGCCCAGAGUUGAAGAAAAAAGAUCUACGAAAAUAAGUGAAAAAUACUUCAUUCGUAGCAUAUGAAGAAAUUCCGUUAGAAAAAAUAUUAAAUUAUUUUAUGGCGACAGUUUAUAUGUACUACAUAAAGAAAAAAUAAGUGACAACAACAUCAAGAAUCAAUACUACCAAUAAGUGCAUUAAGUGUCACAAAAUGUGUCGUCCUUUCCACAGUUCCUCUGUGCUUAUCUUCGGCAUUAUCCUGCAAUUAGUUGCGGUCGUGGUCAGUGUGAGCUCUGGAGUUGCAUCGCAUCAACUUUUGUCCAGCAGCAGUGGCAUAGGCAGUAGCAGCAGCGGCAGCGGCAGCACUGUGAGUGUCAACAAUGGAUUACAGUGCCAACGGAUCACAGUGCCAGCGUGUCAGGGCUUGGGCUAUAACAUGACAGCUAUGCCAAAUUUGGCCGGUCACACGAAUCGGAUGGAAGCCGAACUGCGGAUGGCGAAGCUGCUGCCCCUCAUCCAAUCGACUUGCUCUAACCGUGCUCGCUUCCUGCUCUGCUCUUCGCUCUUUCCACUUUGUACACCUGAUGUACCGCGACCCGUCACCGCCUGCAAACAACUCUGCGAGAAUGUAAAAAGUGAGUGCGAGUCGCAUACGGAGCUUAUGCAAUUAUGGCCCGACUUUCUCAACUGCGACACUUUACCUCAGCCGGAGAAACACGAACUUUGUAUGCAAAUUCCACAGGAGUCCGAAAAAUCGCAGGACAGUCUGCAGCCACAUCCGCCAUCACUGCAGGCGCACUACGAACAACCAUCGCAAUUUUACUGGCCCUGGUCUGUUUGGAAAAUGCCGCCACAUCUAAGCAAGUCCAUUGCGCCCACAGCAAUUUGCCCACUCAACUUCACCGCCGACCCGUUAAAUGCAGAUCUGUGUGUGCCUCAAUGCAACCGCGAUGCGUUUCAUUCAACUCAACAAAAGAAAGUCGCUGAAAGCCUCAUAUUAGGUCUCUCCGCUGUUUGCUUCGUUUUGACGUUAUUUUCGCUGGUUACUUUCUGGGCGGAACCGACACGUUUCGGGUACCCAGAACGUCCAGUGCUCUUCCUUUGUCUCUGCUACAAUCUCUUCAGUGUUUGCUACCUGGAACGCAUAGUCUUUCACAACUCUACACGUACACUAGCGGUGCUUGAGGAUCCUCUAGGCAAAGUCAGCCCACCAUGCACCAUCUCACCGCCCUGCCUGGCUUCAUACAUAACAACGAGUUACCUCAGUUUGUGCGCGGCCACUUGGUGGCUCAUAUUUGCGCUGUGUUUCUUCCUCUCCUCGCAUCAGAAAUGGUCAAGUGAGGCGCUUGAGAAGAAGUCAGGUCUAUUUCAUGUUCUUGCCUGGGUGCCACCGCUUGCUCCACCAAUCGCCGCGCUACUAAUGGAAAAGGUACGCCCCAACGAGUUGACAGGCAUGUGCACGGCUUUCGGAUUUGUGGAGGUCCCUGCCGUGGUGCUUUUGUUGCUUGGUAUCUUCUUCACUGUUCGGGCCUCCAGAUCGCUGCACGCGCUUGAGCAACAAAUGAAACCCACUUUUGGGCAUCAACGCUUUUCGCAGAUACGGAAACGCUUUCUUAUAUUUGCGCUGCUCUUCUUCAUGCCCACCAUAGCUGGCGUGAUAACAUCGUUUUUCGAGCGCUAUAUUGACUCGGUACCUGCCUGCUCUACCCACGAAGAUUGUGCUCUCCCGGAACAGCGCAAAGCCUGGACGACGCUCUUGAGAAUAUUUUUCCAGUUAGCUGGUGGCACUUUGACUGGUAUGUGGGUGUGGUCGCGAAAGACAUGCGAAUCGUACCGAAGUCGGCUGGUAACCACGCCAACUUCCUCCACAACUACAAAGUCGAUAUCUUCAUUUCCGAAGAACCAUCUGCACACGAAUGGCAAAUCUGUGAGCAGCACGCUGUAUAGCGGUAUUAACUUCCACAAUGUACCGGUGUAUAACCUGAAUCAAGCGCGAGUGUAGCGGUCAAUGGAUGUGGUUGGAGCAGCCAAUGAUCCAACACAGCAACAACAAAAGCCGAUGCAAAACAGCCGGAAUAGGGAGGGUAUAUAUACAUUGGGAUUAUAUCUGUAAGCCUUUGCAACUAAGUUGGACGCGGUUCAAACAAUCCUUAGUUUGUAGAUAAAAUUUCAGUUAGGUUGGUUGUUUAAUUUUUUAAGGCUCGAAUGUUAGUUUCUACUUUUAUAAUGUUGGUAUUUUAGGUUAUUUAAAAAAUGUUAUUUGUAAAUUCUAUUAAUACUUAGGUAUGGCUGAAGAUACGUUCUGUUAACGCUAUAUACUUUGUAUACUCUUCUCGGUCAUGAAAUUUUCGAUGAGUUAGUUUUUGUGCGAAUGCAUGUACUAAAACUCUAAACUAUUUUGAUGAAAUGUGUUAAUAGCUUUAAAAUCUCGGUAGAUAAUAUUAGAUAUAUUUAUUUAAACGUUAUAUCGUUAGAUUUAUGAGAUACAAAUAUAUGUAAAUAAAAAUCAUAAAACCGUUGGUAUUAAACAGGUCUUUAACAGGCAUACAUAUUUAUGCUAAUGUAUGU